GCCCUUUUAGCUCAGUGGUAGAGCGUCGCACUCGUAAUGCGAAGGUCCACGGUUCAAUCCCGUGAGGGGGCA
rnacentral:tRNA from 1 species